GGAUCAUCAGGUCGGUCGUGCCUCCGGUAUGUACUGGUCUCGAUGGUUCCUCCUUCUUGUAGAACCGUAAUGCCAUUAAUUUGGUGUUGCGGGGAAACAGGACUGUUACUUUGAAAAAAUUAGAGUGUUCAAGGCAGGCGUUUGCUUGAAUAUUGCAGCUGGGAAUAAUAACAAAGGCUUCGGGCCAUGUUGUUGGUUUCACGGACUGAAGA
rnacentral:rRNA from 1 species